rnacentral:rRNA from 1 species
GAUGAACGCUGGCGGCGUGCCUAAUACAUGCAAGUCGAGCGAACAGACGAGGAGCUUGCUCCUCUGACGUUAGCGGCGGACGGGUGAGUAAAACGUGGAUAACCUACCUAUAAGACUGGGAUAACUUCGGGAAACCGGAGCUAAUACCGGAUAACAUGUUGAACCGCAUGGUUCAACAGUGAAAGACGGUCUUGCUGUCACUUAUAGAUGGAUCCGCGCCGCAUUAGCUAGUUGGUAAGGUAACGGCUUACCAAGGCAACGAUGCGUAGCCGACCUGAGAGGGUGAUCGGCCACACUGGAACUGAGACACGGUCCAGACUCCUACGGGAGGCAGCAGUAGGGAAUCUUCCGCAAUGGGCGAAAGCCUGACGGAGCAACGCCGCGUGAGUGAAGAAGGUCUUCGGAUCGUAAAACUCUGUUAUUAGGGAAGAACAAAUGUGUAAGUAACUAUGCACGUCUUGACGGUACCUAAUCAGAAAGCCACGGCUAACUACGUG